GUCCCUUGCCCCUCCCCCUCCAUCGCCCCUCCCCCAACCAAUCUUGCCCACACCACAGAUGCCUCCUCUGCCCUCAAACAACGGCGACAAGGAUGCCGGCAACCCGCGUCUCCUUCCACCUCCCCCAGCUCGUCUUCUCGCCGGCCGCUUUGGAGGAGCCUCCUUUUGCGCGCCACCGUGGCCGGGGUGCGGCGACCACCAGAGGUCCGCCGCCGGCAGGAGCUCCCUCCUUCUCCACUACGAGGCACCAGCAGAGGGGGACGACUCCUCCUUCCAUCCCUAGCCGCGCCGUCCAACCUCUAACGCCGCUUGAAACCCUAUCCCGAAUCCGGCAGAGGUAGUUGAAGGAAGGGGCGGGCAUUGGAGAAGCUGCUAGGUGUGGGCCUGAAGCCAUGGAUGGAUAGCGGACGGUGAGGAGGCACUGAAUAGAGCGGCGGGCAAGGACAAAGUGAAGUUAUGCGCACCGUUGUCAUAUCCCUCCUCCACCCGCUGUUACUGGAAGCAAGCGCAGUACCAUCUCAUCUCAUCCACGAGAGCUAUUUUUGGCUUACAUGAAGGGAUACAUGCUCUUCAUCUUGCAGGCUGGCAGCGGUGUUUGCAAAUCACCACGGAGAAAGUAAAGAUCUCGAGCGGAUUCCGUUUGUUUGCUCUAUGUAUAGUCUUUCGAAGCGCAGGAAAAAACACAAAAAAAUUCUAGUUUAUUUUACUGCCUUUUGUAGUAGAAGAAAAUGAAAAUCACAAAAAAUAUGUUUGUUUCUCUGCCUUUUGUACUAAUGGAGACGGAAAGUCACAAAAAAUGCUUGUUUUGAGGGUCGAGCAGUCAGUUGGUUUGUUGCUCAUACAGAAAUGUUUUUGGUUUUGGGGGGUUCGAUGUGUACAUUGUGCAUCAGCAUACACUGCUAGCUGCCCGUGGAGAUCAGCACUAAAGAAUAAACAAAUCCUGGCACCUGAGCUAUUUACACAAGGAGGGGACCCAGCCUUCUUCACGGCUCGCGGCAGUGUCUCCCAUUGAUUCGUUCGUGCAAUAAGGAGGGGACUCGCCCUUCUUCACGUCUCGUGCAACAAGGGUGGUCGACGCGGACUACCGCUGUCUGGUGGCCGUCGUGCUCUUCAACCACUCAGAGGUGGACUUUGCCGUGAAGCCCGACGACCGCGUCGCACAGAUGAUCGUCCAGGUGAUAGUGACGCCGGAGGUCUCCGAGGUGGAGGACCUUGAUACCAUCGUUUGGGGGGAGGGAGGAUUGGGGUACACCAACAUAUGAACUCCGAGCCUUGGUAGAUACAUCUAGAGAAGUGGUAUGUUUAGGCUGCUGGUGGAACACUAGGAAAGGUACCCACCUUUGGUUGUGUGCGUUUAUUGUUAAAUGCAAUCACGUGAUCUCUUGAAGUUGAGAUGUUCAAUGUUGCAUCCAUGAAUGGUGCAAGUGUUAAGAUGGUCCUGUGACCUUAAUUUAUUUUGCACUGGACGUGUCUCUCA